rnacentral:rRNA from 1 species
UACGUAGGGGGCAAGCGUUGUCCGGAUUUAUUGGGCGUAAAGAGCGUGUAGGCGGCCAUACAGGUCAGCUGUGAAAACUCGAGGCUCAACCUCGAGACGUCGGUUGAAACCGUAUGGCUAGAGUCCGGAAGAGGAGAGUGGAAUUCCUGGUGUAGCGGUGGAAUGCGCAGAUAUCAGGAGGAACACCAAUAGCGAAGGCAGCUCGCUGGGACGGUACUGACGCUAAGGCGCGAAAGCGUGGGGAGCGAACAGG